AACGCAAGAACCUUACCCCGGCUUGACACGCAGAUGAUCGUUACAGAAAUGUAAUUUCCUUUGGGGGCAUCUGCACGGGUGCUGCAUGGCUGUCGUCAGCUCGUGCCGUGAGGUGUUUGGUUAAGUCCAGCAACGAGCGCAACCCUUAUCAUUAGUUGCCAACAGUUAGGGUGGGAACUCUAAUGAGACUGCCGGGGUUAACCAGGAGGAAGGUGAGGAUGACGUCAAGUCCUCAUGGCCCUUAUGUGUGGGGCUACACACGUGCUACAAUGGUCGGUACAGAAGGCAGCGAAACCGUGAGGCGGAGCAAAUCCCGAAAACCGAUCCCAGUUCAGAUUGUCGUUUGCAACUUGGAUACCAGGAGGUGGAAUUCCUAGUAAUGGUGGGUCAACAACCCCCCCGUGAAUAAUUUCCCGGGUCUUGUACACACCG
rnacentral:rRNA from 1 species